rnacentral:rRNA from 1 species
GACGAACGCUGGCGGCGUGCCUAAUACAUGCAAGUAGAACGCUGAAGAGAGGAGCUUGCUCUUCUUGGAUGAGUUGCGAACGGGUGAGUAACGCGUAGGUAACCUGCCUUGUAGCGGGGGAUAACUAUUGGAGACGAUAGCUAAUACCGCAUAACAAUGGAUGACACAUGUCAUUUAUUUGAAAGGGGCAAUUGCUCCACUACAAGAUGGACCUGCGUUGUAUUAGCUAGUAGGUGAGGUAAUGGCUCACCUAGGCGACGAUACAUAGCCGACCUGAGAGGGUGAGCGGCCACACUGGGACUGAGACACGGCCCAGACUCCUACGGGAGGCAGCAGUAGGGAAUCUUCGGCAAUGGGGGCAACCCUGACCGAGCAACGCCGCGUGAGUGAAGAAGGUUUUCGGAUCGUAAAGCUCUGUUGUAAGUCAAGAACGGGUGUGAGAGUGGAAAGUUCACACUGUGACGGUAGCUUACCAGAAAGGGACGGCUAACUACGUG